CACCGCGGUUAUACGAGGGGCCCAAGCUGACAAUCACCGGCGUAAAGAGUGGUUAAUAACCCCACAAUAAUAAAGUCGAACAUCUCCAAAGUUGUUGAACACAUUCGAAGAUAUGAAGCUCUACCACGAAAGUGACUUUACACUCUUUGAACCCACGAAAGCUAGGAAA
rnacentral:rRNA from 1 species